CCUGCCCAGUGACUCAAGUUCAACGGCCGCGGUAUCCUAACCGUGCAAAGGUAGCAUAAUCACUUGCCCAUUAAUUGUGGGCUAGUAUGAAAGGACCAACGAAAUAAAAACUGUCUCUAUAAGCCCCCUAAAAAUUAAUCUCUAACUGAAGAGUGUUAGAUAUCGUCGAAGGACAAGAAGACCCUAUAGAGCUUUAUUUUUAUAAAAAAUAAUAUUUUUAAUAAAUUCGGUUGGGGCGACCAGGGAAACAAGUAUCAUCCCUAUACAGAAGAUUAAUAAAUCUCAAUUCUGACCCUUAUUAAAGAUCACCAGAAUAAGCUACCUUAGGGAUAACAGGCUAAUCCCAUUAAAGAGUCCUUAUUAAUAAUGGGGGUUGGCACCUCGAUGUUGGCUUAGGGAAUCUGUGUGGCGCAAAAGUCGCACAAAGAUGGUUUGUUCAACCAAUAAUACCCUACAUGAGCUGAGUUCAGACCGGCGUAAGCCAGGUUAGUUUCUAUCCUCGAUAACAAAUCUAUUUAUAGUACGAAAGGACCUAAAUAGAAUAAUAAUUAUUUAAAAAGAACUAAUAUAAUAAAAUAUAACAAAGACAAAUGCAUAGACUA
rnacentral:rRNA from 1 species